GAUGAAGAACGUAGUGAAAUGCGAUAAGUAAUGUGAAUUGCAGAAUUCAGUGAAUCAUCGAAUCUUUGAACGCACAUUGCGCCCCUUGGUAUCCAUGGGGCAUGCCUGUUCGAGCGUCAUUUGUACCUUCAAGCUCUGCUUGGUGUUGGGUGUUUGUCUCGCCUCUGCGUGUAGACUCGCCUCAAAACAAUUGGCAGCCGGCGUAUUGAUUUCGGAGCGCAGUACAUCUCGCGCUUUGCACUCAUAACGACGACGUCCAAAAGUACAUUUUUACCCUCUUGACCUCGGAUCAGGUAGGGAUACCCGCUGAACUUAAGCAUAUCAAUAAGCGGAGGA
rnacentral:misc_RNA from 1 species